rnacentral:lncRNA from 1 species
CUAAACCUCUUUCCUUUAUACAUUACCCAGUCUCAGGUAUGUCUUUAUUAGCAGCUUGAGAACAGACUAAUACAGCCUCUCAUGGAACUAAAUCCAUUGCCUCAGCUCUGCAUUUGGCAAGCCAGGUGUGGCUACCCAUGUCCUGUGUAGGCCCAUGUCUGGUACUUCCUUAACCUUAGGGUGGCUCUUCUCUUUGAGGUAGAGGGGAUAUCCUAUGCAGAAUGAGUGGAGCUCUGCCUUUCCUCCCACACUCAGUGAAUUCUGGGAAACAGAAGACUUAGCAAUGGCCUUCUGUAUGCUCGCACGCAUUUCUCACAAUGCACAGGGGUUCCUAACAUGAAAAUGUCUCAAGACAGCCCUGGGCAUUGGGCCCCCAGGGUAGGUGUGGAAUUGGAAAUGCACUUGGAAGGUGGUCCUGAGGGACCCUGGCAUACAGGAGGCUACCAUGCUCUUCUGAUACCCAGUGCCUUGCUGUUCCAUUUGUUACCACAGUGAAAGCCACUUGAAAGUCAUCUCCAUGAUGAAAUGAUCAGCAAUUUACGGAAUGAAAUAAACCUUUAUUUAUUAUUAUUAUUUUUUUAUUUUUUGAGACACAGUCUCACUCUGUCACCCAGGCUGGAGUGCAGUGGCACGAUUUCAGCUCCCUGCAACCUCCACCUCCAAGGUUCAAGCGAUUCUCGUGCCUCAGCCUCCUGAGUAGCUCGUAUUACAGGCAUGUGUCACCAUACCCAGCUAAUUUUUGUUUUGUUUUGUUUUAGUAGAGACAGCGUUUCACCAUGUUGCCCAGGCUGGUUUCCAACUCCUGACCUCAAGUGAUCCGCCUGCCUCAGCCUCCCAAAGUGCUGGGAGUACAGGUGAUAGCUACCAUGCCUGGCCAAAAUACACCUUUAUAUUUAACAUGCCAAAUGAGGUAGCUUACUGGGCAGACUCUGCCAGGCAGAACCAUCUUUAGCUUCCUUGGCUGCCAGACUGAUGGAUGCUGGAGCUUUUCAGGACACUGGCUCAGACAAGACUACACUCAGCCAUUUCCCACCCCCAAAUUUCAGUUUUCCACCCCGCCCACACCCCCCCCCCACAAAAAACCCAGCAGUUUUUCCUGGCUUCAACAAUGCCACACAAUGUUUCCUUCUGUAGUGGGUUUUGUCCCCAGCUGUCUUGGGCUGUACUGGUGUGGAUCUUCUUACGGCAGCUGAACUCAUUGGUGAAGAAAAGAAACCCCUUGGGCUGAGGCAUCAGAGUUGUGGUGUCCCCUGUCCCAACAGCAUGGCUUUGAUCCCCACGAUGUGGAGUUAAUUUGGUGUUUCCAGUGCCAAUAGGUGUUCAUCAAGCCUUUAUGGGAUGAGCAGAGCCUCUGAGAAGUGAUUCUUGGUCCAUUUUGGGGGAUCUGAUGGAAUCUUUGUUUCCUAUUCCCAGAGAAAUACAACACGGAUUCACACAGACACAAUAGCACACUGUCUUGACACUGUAUUAGGGCACUGUGAAUCUGCUCUCUUACUUACUUUUAGGGGUCCCCUUGGGUGUCACUUUCCUUCCCUGUAGGUUGGCAUCAGCGGUGCCAGUGCCAAGGCAACUCUAGCAUGGAGAGUGAUGGUGAGACACGGUGGUGGAGGGCUUGUGUGUGGUUAUCGGCUGUGGGGACAGUGAUGGGGAAAAGAGUGUGAGCUUCCCCUGUCCGGAGAUGGGGAUGGGCAAAUCAGGACUGAAGGAGGAGGAAAUGGUGG